CCUGCAGUGGUCUGUCCGAGGCCUUGUGGUUAACUUGACCCCACCAGCCCCAGGGCAAUGGCUAUGCACUUCUCAUUGAGGCUCCCUAGGAAUGCUGUUCUUCUCCAAACACAUGUCAGAUUCUUUUUUUUUUUUUUAAAGUUCAUUUAUUAUUAUUUUUUUUAGUAAUCCCUCCCCUCACCAUGGGGCUCGCACUCACAACCCCAAGAUCAAGAGUCAUGUGCUCCUUCCACUGCACCAGCCAGGUGGCUCCAUGCAUUUCAGAUUCUGAAUCACUUGCCCUGACACAAGCUUUCAAGGUUCCGCGGUGGCAUCUUCAUGGCACUCCAGACGUUGGCACGGCUGCUCCUGUGGGCAGAGGCCCCUCCGGAAGUGGUCAGAGAUGGAAGUGAUCUGCGAGGCCUGGGACAGUGUGGAGUGUGCUGGAGACAGGCCUGCCGCAGGGCCGGAGGACAGGAGUUCCUAGCAGGGGCCCACGGAGGGACCUCAGGCCAUUUCAGCACUGAAGAGGCCCCCAGCAGGUCCCACAUUUACCAGAAAGGCUUUGAAAACCAGGGAAAAGGGAUCAUGCUUCCUCCUGGCAGGCUGGAAUACCCAUCACUAUUACGGCUGCAGCAGGGGACCCUUUGUGGCCUCACCCUCAUUGAUGCAGCCUCUUUGUCUUGUGUUUUCUUCAGUUUUCUUAAUAAACCAGGAGCCCCCUGUGGUGGGGGAGGGCAUUAAGUCUUUUUUUUCUCCCCCUCACAGCUUUAUGGAGGUGUAGUUUACAUACCAUAAAAUUCACCUGUUUUAAGGAUAAAAUUUAACCAUUUUUAGUAAACCUAGAGAGCUAUGUGACUGUCACUGCUCUUCAGUUUGAGAACCUCUCUGUCGCCCCUGGAAGAUGCCUCCUGUCUACCUGCAGCCAGUCCCUGGUUCCACACCCAGGACCCAGGCCACUGUUCAUCGGCUUUCUCUGUUUACAGAUUUGCCUCUUCUGGGCAUCUCACAGGAGUGGAAUUGUGUGCUAGGCAGGUCUUUUCUGUCUGGCUCCUUUCACUGAAAACUCGACUCGUUAUGUUCAUUCCAUAGAGGAUAGUUAAGUAAACAAAAAUAGGAAUUGCCAAUAAAAGACACAUCUGAAAAACUGUUUCAUCGAAGUCAUCUUUGGUCACCAUUCAACUAAUUUAUGUUUCAUGAACUUUCUACACAUGUAUUUUGACUCAUUGUGGUUCAGAAGUCCCUGCUGUGUUUACAGGUUAGGUUUUGUGUAGAUUUGUUUAGUAAGAGCAAGCGGACUUUUGUGAUAUUUAAAAUGAAAUCCCAAGUUUAAACUUCUGAAUAUUAGGAACAGCCUGUGCCAUGCCAGAUAGAAACUGAUUGUGAACGUUCCAGAGUUCAUAUGGGAAUGAACCCCUUGGUGUCUUUACAUGUUAACCUCAUGAAGAAAUUGUCCCAUUCUGAAGUGUUAGGUGAUUCCAUGGAGAAUUGGAAAGUCAUUCCUGUAUGGCAUCAUGGUUCAUACUUGUCUAAAUCAUACCAACAAAACAAAACAAAACAAAAAACCAUACAAAAACAUCUCUAAGCUUUCUGUAACUGAUUACAAAUGGGGAGGGAGAAAAGACAAGUUCACAGACUUUACAAGCUAGAAGGGGCUCCUCUGUGGUCUUCUGCUCAACACCUGCCUUUGCAGAGUGACACAAAGUUAACUGACCUGCACUGAUGUGUGGCCCAAGCAGGCCAAGAAUCUGCAGAUUCUCACCAGAAAUCUGGAGCCUUUAUGACGUCCAGCUGCUGCCUUGCACUCAGCAGGUAUGGGAGUACUACUUUGGAAGGACUUUACUAUCAAGGACGUCAGGGCAAACCUCUAAUGAAAACUGUCACUGGAUCUUUAAUGAGAAGGAGGGUCGUCUAUUCUAAAGGACUGUCUGGAAGUAAAAAAUCAUGGGCUACCUGUUCCGGGGGAAGUCUGUAACCUUCUCCACAAUCUCCUUCCACCUUCCUUGAGUGCAGCCCUGGGUUACUUUGGGAAGCUUGUGGCUGAUUUUCCUGGAAAUGAGUCACUAGGUACUUGCAUCAGCUGAUCAGUCCUGGGUCAGUGCUGGGGCUGUGGAGCCAGGUCUGUGUUUGGGGAAAGGGGGAUUUGAAGGUGGUGGCUGUCAGGGUCAGAAAGACUGAGGGAGGAGGCUCUGCUGGCCCAGGGGAGCUGGGGCCACAUGGUACUUGAGUCUGGGCAGGUGGCCCUCACACAGUUCUUGGAAUAGGCUGCAGCGUUGAUAUACACACGUACUGCUUAUUGACCCAGGUAUAAUGAAGAGGUUUUACAUACUUCUGGAGCUUUGAACAGGCACGUGAAGCAGACAUUCUCCAGACAAAGACACCAAGGUUGUGAGAAGCUAAGGGACUUGUCCCAAGCCACGUGGCUAGUGAGCGCAGGAGCCAGCAUUCAAACCCAGGGCUGAGAAACAGUCCAUCGCAUGGACAGACCACAUGGUGUUUAUCCAUUCCUGAGCUGAUGGAUGUUUGGUUUGUGUCCGCUUUUUGACCAUUUGAACAACGCUGCUGUGAACACUGGUGGCGGGGACGUGGUGUUUUGGAUGACCCCCAAAUCCAGCCCGUGGGAUCAAAAAGAGAACAGCCAGGUUCUCCUCCAAGAUUGGAAACAGAGAUCUGGGGAGGGCAUGCUUCACGGCUGCGCAGCUCAAGUCCAAGUACCGCGUCUCCUCUAGCUUCAUGGCUCCUAGCACCAGGCACAGCCAGAGGAUGCCGGGGCAGCUCAAGUCCAAGUACCGUGUCUCCUCUAGCUUCAUGGCUCCUAGCACCAGGCACAGCCAGGGGAUGCCGGGGCCCCAGGUGUGGGGGAAACAGCCGUCUGAGAUGAAGCCUACACAGCCAAUAGCGUGAUGCUCACACCCAGAAUCUGGACAUUUAGAGAAGGACCUGAGCUUAGGAUGCCUGUCCUGAGUUGCCACUUGGCUUUUUCCAGCUUUUAAAAUAAUGACUUAUAGUUGAUCCUGAGCAAAGUUAGUGACCUCAGCCCCAGACAACUUGUAAUAGGUGCUUACUACCCUACUGUCUGUCUUCUGUUGCCUUGUGACCUGGGAUGGAAAACGGUGCUUCCCCUGGCUCACUGCCACCCCUCUCCUCAUUCCUGGGAUCUGUAAGUAACAAUACAUCUUGUGGCUCUUGUCAGGGUGCAUUGCAACUUGCCUUCAAACAAAACAUCUAAGGUUUUCUCGUCCCCCAAAUGGGAGCUUGGAUGCUGAGGGAGCCACAUGCUACCCCCAUGUGAGGGGGUCAUGCCUCCUUACUCAGCAAGCCAUAAUCUGCAUAUUAUUAGUUUAAUACACCAGCUACGGGCCUCUGGACACACCAGGCAAGUGCACCCUUGGGGUGCACCAAUCUCAUGUCAUCUGAGAAGCAUGGUCACUUACAUGAUGCUCAUGCUAAUAACGUAGUCCUUCUAGUAGGGCUUCAAUCUCCUAAGUCUUUUUAUAAGAAAGUAAAAAUUAGCAAUUUGGGGUACAUUUUAUUUUAUUAAAAUGCUUUUGAUUUAACAUACUGUGACUAUCUCUCUGUUACUAUAUUUCUAGUGGCAUCAUUUUUAAAGGCUUCAAAAUACUUCACUGUUUAUACUCUGUACUAUAAUGUGCAUUUUAUGUUAUAUAAAUAGAUACCUUAUUCAUGUACAAAAUAAAUAAUGUGUCAUCAGCUA